rnacentral:rRNA from 1 species
GAUGAGCCCGCGUUGGAUUAGCUAGUUGGUGGGGCAAAGGCCUACCAAGGCGACGAUCCAUAGCUGGUCUGAGAGGAUGAUCAGCCACAUUGGGACUGAGACACGGCCCAAACUCCUACGGGAGGCAGCAGUGGGGAAUAUUGGACAAUGGGCGCAAGCCUGAUCCAGCCAUGCCGCGUGAGUGAUGAAGGUCUUAGGAUUGUAAAGCUCUUUCACCGGGGACGAUAAUGACGGUACCCGGAGAAGAAGCCCCGGCUAACUUCGUGCCAGCAGCCGCGGUAAUACGAAGGGGGCUAGCGUUGUUCGGAAUUACUGGGCGUAAAGCGCACGUAGGCGGAUAUUUAAGUCAGGGGUGAAAUCCCGGGGCUCAACCCCGGAACUGCCUUUGAUACUGGGUAUCUUGAGUGUGGUAGAGGUGAGUGGAAUUGCGAGUGUAGAGGUGAAAUUCGUAGAUAUUCGCAGGAACACCAGUGGCGAAGGCGGCUCACUGGACCACAACUGACGCUGAGGUGCGAAGGCGUGGGGAGCAAACAGGAUU